UAUCUACUGUUGGAUUAUCUGCCAUACAUCCAGCUAUAGCUAAAAAGAUAUUAUCAAAUAACAACAUAAAGGAUGGUUUCACUGAAUUUGAUAGUACGAUGUCAAAUUAAUGAACGUGAGUGUUCGGUGGUUGUUAUUUAAUUAUCGUUAAUAUAUUUACUCUAUAUAUUGUGUAACUUUGCAGUUUUUAUAUCUUCCGAAAAAAAACUAUAAUUUUUUUUGGCAGGGAAGAGAAACUCUUACUAUCAAGCUUUUGGAAAAUUUAUUUGCUUCAUCAGGAUGUGCUUCAAUAAUUUUUUUCAGUAAAUACAAUGAAAUUAAAAUGACAGGACAUUGUUUAAACAGAAUAAUACAAACUUACAACAGGAGGUCGUAUUGAUUUUUAUAUACUACUACGACAAUGCUACUUUGCAAGAAGCUGAAAUACAGCUCGAAAGCAUGGACUACGAAAGAGAGAAAGAUAACCUACCAACAGAGGAAGAAGUCAUCAAAGAAAUACAAAAAUUUAAAGAUAACAAAGCUCCUGGAUCAAAUGGCAUACCUUCUGAACUUUUAAAACAUAGCGGCACAAAUCUGACCUGUAGUAUAAGUAGGAUUAGUCUGGGCUGAUUAUCGGAGAAUAGGCCAUUUUUGGGAAAAGUUAUUUACCAGCAAUUUUAUUGCUGGAAUCGAAUUAUAAGAUCCUAUAUAUUAAUAUUAUAGGUAUGCAAAGUCCUCAGAUAGUGUGCUACUUUUUUUAUAAACAAAAUGGCGCCCGAAAAUCGUGUUUUUUUCAAUUAUUGCUCUAUAACUCCGAAGAUUUUAACUUUACAACAAAAACACUCAAAUAAAAAUUCACCGUGAUUAAAUUCUACAUAGAGACGUGUUUUUCCCGAUCUGCUCUGACGAAAAUUUUCCUCGGAAAAUGCGGGUUUUCCCAACAAAAUCUUUAAUUUUCAAAUAAAGUUUUAGAUAAGUAAUUAUUUACCAAUAAUUAAAUAAUUUGGUGACUUAAAAGCCUUCUUGGUUUAGAUUAUAGUUCCAGA